rnacentral:rRNA from 1 species
AAUCUAGAGCUAUACAUGCUUAAAAUCCCGACUUCGGAAGGGAUGUAUUUAUUAGAUUAAAAACCAAUGCCCUUCGGGGCUCACUGGUGAUUCAUAAUAACUUCUCGAAUCGCAUGGCCCUUGUGCCGGCGAUGGUUCAUUCAAAUUUCUGCCCUAUCAACUUUCGACGGCUGGGUCUUGGCCAGCCGUGGUUACAACGGGUAACGGAGGGUUAGGGCUUGACCCCGGAGAAGGAGCCUGAGAAACGGCUACUACAUCCAAGGAAGGCAGCAGGCGCGCAAAUUACCCAAUCCCGACACGGGGAGGUAGUGACAAUAAAUACUGAUACAGGGCUCUUUUGGGUCUUGUAAUUGGAAUGAGUACAAUUUAAAUCCCUUAACGAGGAACAAUUGGAGGGCAAGUCUGGUGCCAGCAGCCGCGGUAAUUCCAGCUCCAAUAGCGUAUAUUAAAGUUGUUGCAGUUAAAAAGCUCGUAGUUGAACCUUGGGCCUGGCUGGCCGGUCUGCCUCACCGCAUGCACUGGUCCGGCCGGGCCUUUCCCUCUGGGGAUCCGCAUGCCCUUCACUGGGUGUGUCGGGGAACCAGGACUUUUACUGUGAAAAAAUUAGAGUGUUCAAAGCAGGCCUAUGCUCGAAUACAUUAGCAUGGAAUAAUAGAAUAGGACGUUGCGGUUCUAUUUUGUUGGUUUCUAGGACCGCCGUAAUGAUUAAUAGGGACAGUCGGGGGCGUCAGUAUUCAAUCGUCAGAGGUGAAAUUCUUGGAUCGAUUGAAGACUAACUACUGCGAAAGCAUUCGCCAAGGAUGUUUUCAUUAAUCAGGAACGAAAGUUAGGGGAUCGAAAACGAUCAGAUACCGUUGUAGUCUUAACCAUAAACUAUGCCGACUAGGGAUCGGGCGAUGUUAUUUCUUGACUCGCUCGGCACCUUACACGAAAGUAAAGUUUUGGGUUCUG